ensembl:snRNA U6 U6 spliceosomal RNA
GUGCUGACUUCAGUUGUACAUUAAUUGGCAUAACGCAGAGAAGAUUAUUAUAGCCCUUGCCCAAGGAACAUGCAUAUUCAUAAAGCAUUUUACAUUUUU